AAGACCUUACUUCAUAGGAUCAUUUCUAUAGUAAGCUCUUAACCCAGAAAACUGCACAUACAAAAUCAAUGUUCCACGA
rnacentral:snoRNA from 1 species